UGGGGAAUAUUGGACAAUGGGCGGAAGCCUGAUCCAGCCAUGCCGCGUGUGUGAAGAAGGCCUUUUGGUUGUAAAGCACUUUAAGCGAGGAGGAGGCUACUUGGAUUAAUACUCUAGGAUAGUGGACGUUACUCGCAGAAUAAACACCGGCUAACUCUGUGCCAGCAGCCGCGGUAAUACAGAGGGUGCGAGCGUUAAUCGGAUUUACUGGGCGUAAAGCGUGCGUAGGCGGCUUCUUAAGUCGGAUGUGAAAUCCCUGAGCUUAACUUAGGAAUUGCAUUCGAUACUGGGAAGCUAGAGUAUGGGAGAGGAUGGUAGAAUUCCAGGUGUAGCGGUGAAAUGCGUAGAGAUCUGGAGGAAUACCGAUGGCGAAGGCAGCCAUCUGGCCUAAUACUGACGCUGAGGUACGAAAGCAUGGGGAGCAAACAGG
rnacentral:rRNA from 1 species